rnacentral:rRNA from 1 species
GGCGGACGGGUGUGUAACGCGUAAGAACUUACCCUAAAGUGGGGGACAACCUCGAGAAAUCGGGGCUAAUACCGCAUACGCUCCGCAAGGAGGAAAGCUACGGCGCUUUAGGAUGGGCUUGCGUCCGAUUAGCUAGUUGGUGAGGUAAUGGCCCACCAAGGCUUAGAUCGGUAGCUGGUCUGAGAGGAUGAUCAGCCACACUGGAAUUGAGAUACGGUCCAGACUCCUACGGGAGGCAGCAGCAGGGAAUAUUGCGCAAUGGGUGAAAGCCUGACGCAGCAACGCCGCGUGGGGGAUGACGGCUUUCGAGUUGUAAACCCCUUUUCUUGGGGAAGAUAAUGACGGUACCCGAGGAAUAAGUCUCGGCUAACUACGUGCCAGCAGCCGCGGUAAGACGUAGGAGGCGAGCGUUAUCCGGAUUUACUGGGCGUAAAGGGCGUGUAGGUGGUUCUCCAAGUCUUUGGUGAAAUCUCCCGGCUUAACUGGGAGGCUGCCAGAGAAACUAGGGAACUUGAGGGCAGCAUAGGGGAGUGGAAUUCCCGGUGUAGUGGUGAUAUGCGUAGAGAUCGGGAGGAACACCAGUGGCGAAAGCGGCUCCCUGGGCUGUACCUGACACUGAGGCGCGAAAGCGUGGGGAGCAAACAGGAUUAGAUACCCUGGUAGUCCACGCUGUAAACGAUGGAUACUAGGUAUGGGGGGUAUCGACCCUCUUCGUGCCGAAGCUAACGCUUUAGGUAUCCCGCCUGGGACUACGGCCGCAAGGC